UACGUAGGUGGCAAGCGUUGUCCGGAUUUAUUGGGUUUAAAGGGUGCGUAGGCGGCUUUGUAAGUCAGUGGUGAAAUAUGGCAGCUCAACUGUCAAGGUGCCAUUGAUACUGCAGAGCUUGAGUACGGAUGAGGUAGGCGGAAUUGACGGUGUAGCGGUGAAAUGCUUAGAUAUCGUCAAGAACACCUAUAGCGAAGGCAGCUUACUAGGCUGUAACUGACGCUGAGGCACGAAAGUGUGGGGAUCAAACAGG
rnacentral:rRNA from 1 species